rnacentral:rRNA from 1 species
GACAGCAGUAGCCGCGGGAAUACGAAGGGGGCUAGCGUUGUUCGGAUUUACUGGGCGUAAAGGGCGCGUAGGCGGACUGAUAAGUCAGGGGUGAAAUCCCAAGGCUCAACCUUGGAACUGCCUUUGAUACUGUUUGUCUUGAGUUCGAGAGAGGUAAGUGGAACUGCGAGUGUAGAGGUGAAAUUCGUAGAUAUUCGCAAGAACACCAGUGGCGAAGGCGGCUUACUGGCUCGAAACUGACGCUGAGGCGCGAAAGCGUGGGGAGCAAACCGGAUUAGAUACCCCGGUAGUCCCUGUCUCUUAUAC